rnacentral:misc_RNA from 1 species
UUUCCGUAGGUGAACCUGCGGAAGGAUCAUUGUCGAAACCUGCCCAGCAGAACGACCCGCGAACUUGUAUAAACAACCGGGGGCGGGGGGCGUUCUCGCCCCGUGCCCCCGAACGGCGGGGAGACACUCGUGCCUUCUUGCCGAACAACGAACCCCGGCGCGGUCUGCGCCAAGGAACUUCAAUUAAAGAGUGCCUCCGGUCGCCUCGGAAACGAUGCGCGUGUCGGAGGCGAAUCUUGUACAAAACCAUAACGACUCUCGGCAACGGAUAUCUCGGCUCUC